UACGGAGGGGACUAGCGUUGUUCGGAAUUACUGGGCGUAAAGCGCACGUAGGCGGAUUUGUAAGUCAGGGGUGAAAUCCCGGGGCUCAACCUCGGAACUGCCUUUGAUACUGCAAAUCUCGAGUCCGGAAGAGGUGAGUGGAAUUCCUAGUGUAGAGGUGAAAUUCGUAGAUAUCAAGCAGAACACCUGCGGCGAAGGCGGCCUUCUGGACGAUGACUGACGCUGAGACGCGAAAGCGUGGGGAGCAAACAGG
rnacentral:rRNA from 1 species